UGGCUCAGUCAGUGGAGCAUGAGAUUCUUGAUCUCAGGGUUGUGAGUUCAAACCCCAC
rnacentral:tRNA from 1 species